UACGUAGGGUGCUAGCGUUGUCCGGAUUUAUUGGGCGUAAAGAGCUCGUAGGCGGUUCGUCGCGUCGGUCGUGAAAACUUGGGGCUUAACCCUGAGCUUGCGGUCGAUACGGGCAUCACUGGAGUUCGGCAGGGGAGACUGGAAUUCCUGGUGUAGCGGUGAAAUGCGCAGAUAUCAGGAGGAACACCGGUGGCGAAGGCGGGUCUCUGGGCCGAUACUGACGCUGAGGAGCGAAAGCGUGGGGAGCGAACAGG
rnacentral:rRNA from 1 species